AACGAACGCUGGCGGCAUGCCUAACACAUGCAAGUCGAACGAGACCUUCGGGUCUAGUGGCGCACGGGUGCGUAACGCGUGGGAACCUUCCCUUAGGUUCGGAAUAACUCUCCGAAAGGGGUGCUAAUACCGGAUAAUGUCUUCUGACCAAAGAUUUAUCGCCCUUGGAUGGGCCCGCGUUGGAUUAGCUAGUUGGUAGGGUAAAAGCCUACCAGGGCGAGGAUCAAUAGCUGGUCUGAGAGGAUGAUCAGCCACUCUGGGACUGAGACACGGCCCAGACUCCUACGGGAGGCAGCAGUGCGGAAUAUUGGAAAAUGGGCGAAAGCAUGAUCCAGCACUGCCGGGAGAGCGAUGAAGGCCUUAGGGUUGUAAAGCUCUUUUACCCGGGAUGAUAAUGGCAGUACCGGAAGAAUAAGCUCCGGCUAACUCCGUG
rnacentral:rRNA from 1 species